rnacentral:rRNA from 1 species
UACGAAGGGGGCUAGCGUUGCUCGGAAUCACUGGGCGUAAAGCGCACGUAGGCGGCUCUUUAAGUCAGAGGGGAAAUCCUGGGCUCAACCCCAGAACUGCCUUUGAUACUGAGGAGCUUGAGUCCGGGAGAGGUGAGUGGAACUGCGAGUGUAGAGGUGAAAUUCGUAGAUAUUCGCAAGAACACCAGUGGCGAAGGCGGCUCACUGGCCCGGUACUGACGCUGAGGUGCGAAAGCGUGGGGAGCAAACAGG